rnacentral:lncRNA from 1 species
CUGUCCUCCUGUCCUCCUGUCCUCCUGUCCUCCUGUCCUCCUGUCCUCCUGUCCUCCUGUCCUCCUGUCCUCCUGUCCUCCUGUCCUCCUGUCCUCCUGUCCUCCUGUCCUCCUGUCCUCCUGUCCUCCUGUCCUCCUGUCCUCCUGUCCUCCUGUCCUCCUGUCCUCCUGUCCUCCUGUCCUCCUGUCCUCCUGUCCUCCUGUCCUCCUGUCCUCCUGUCCUCCUGUCCUUAUGUCCUCCUGUCCUCCUGUCCUUCUGUCUUCCUGUCCUCCUGUCCUUAUGUCCUCCUGUCCUCCUGUCCUCAUGUCCUCAUGUCCUCCUGUCCUCCUGUCCUCAUGUCCUCCUGUCCUCCUGUCCUCCUGUCCUCAUGUCCUCACAUCCUUCUGUCCUUCUGUUCUCCUGCCCUCAUGUUCUCCUGACCUCACAUCCUUCUGUCCUCACGUCUUUCUGUCCUCCUGUUCUCAUGUCCUUCUGUCCUCCUGUCCUCCUAUUCUCCUGUCCUCAUGUCCUCCUGUCCUCAUGUCCUUCUGCCGUCCUGCACUCAUGUCCUCCUGUCCUGUUCUCAUGUUCUCCUGUUCUGUCCUCAUGUCCUUCUGUCCUUCUGUUCUCCUGUCCUCAUGUUCUCCUGACCUCACAUCCUUCUGUUCUCAAGUCCUUCUGUCCUCCUGUUCUCAUGUCCUUCUGUCCUCCUGUCCUCAUGUCCUUCUGUCCUCCUAUCCUCCUGUCCUCAUGUCCUUCUGUCCUCCUUAACCUCAUAUUCUUCUAUCCUCAUGUCCUCAUGUCCUUCUGUCCUCCUGUCCUCACAUCCUUCUUCCUCAUGUUCUCUUGUCCUCCUGGUGUCAUGUCCUCCUGUCCCGGUGUUCUCCUGUCCUCCUGUCCUCCUGUCCUCAUGUCCUCCUGUCCUGUCUUCGUGCUCUCAUGUGCUCCUGUUCUCCUGUCCUCACAUCCUCGUGUCCUUGUGUCCUUGUGCCCUCGUGUCCUUGUGUCCUUGUGUUGUCAUGUCCUCCUGUCCUGCUGUCCUCAGAUCCUCGCAUUCUCCUGUCCUCCUGUCCUCCUGUCCUCCUGUCCUCCUGUCCUCCAGUCCCCCUGUCCCCACCCCACAUCCUCAUGUUCCUACUUCCUGUCCUCCUGUCCUCCUGUCCCCCCCCGUGUCCUCCUGUCCCCCUGUCCCCACUCGGUGUCCAUCUGCCCCCGCCCCCAUCCUCGUGUCCCCGCCCCGUUUGGCCCCGGAGCCCCAACUCCGUCCUCCCCCCAGGGCGUCCUGGGCAGCAGCAGGAGUGGGAAAUCAGCGCUGGUCCACCGCUUCCUCACCGGCUCCUAUGUGAGCCUGGAGCCCACCGAGNNNNNNNNNNNNNNNNNNNNNNNNNNNNNNNNNNNNNNNNNNNNNN